GCAUUGGUAGUAUAGUGGUUAUUAUGUGAGCUUCCCAAGCUCAUGGCCCGGGUUCGAUUCCCGGUCAAUGCA
rfam:chromosome XI of strain GB-M1 of Encephalitozoon cuniculi (Microspora)